rnacentral:rRNA from 1 species
UACGUAGGGAGCAAGCGUUGUUCGGAAUUACUGGGCGUAAAGAGUGUGUAGGCGGUGCUCCAAGUCUGGUGUGAAAACUCCCGGCUUAACUGGGAGGGUGCAUUAGAAACUGGAAUGCUAGAGGAUGGGAGAGGUAAGCGGAAUUCCUGGUGUAGCGGUGAAAUGCGUAGAUAUCAGGAGGAACACCUGUGGUGUAGACAGCUUACUGGACCAUUUCUGACGCUGAGACACGAAAGCGUGGGUAGCAAACAGG